UACGUAGGGACCAAGCGUUGUUCGGAUUUACUGGGCGUAAAGGGCGCGUAGGCGGCUUGACAAGUCACUUGUGAAAUCUCCGGGCUUAACUCGGAACGGCCAAGUGAAACUGUCAUGCUAGAGUGCAGAAGGGGCAAUCGGAAUUCUUGGUGUAGCGGUGAAAUGCGUAGAUAUCAAGAGGAACACCUGAGGUGAAGACGGGUUGCUGGGCUGACGCUGACGCUGAGGCGCGAAAGCCAGGGGAGCAAACGGG
rnacentral:rRNA from 1 species